rnacentral:lncRNA from 1 species
AAAAUUUUAAUAACAACAACAAUAAUAAAUUUGAAAAUUAAUGUUAGAAUUAAAUUAGAUUAGGAGUGAGGGGAUAAGGAAGGAGAGGGAUGAUAGAUUUGAAAAAAAAGAGAUACACACACCGAUUGUGAGAAAGUAGUUGGUUGGUUGGUUGGUUGAGUGUGCGCCAGCCGCGUCCCGUCGUCGGGUAAAAGCCAGGAUCGUUCGGUUGGUUCCGUUCAGUAUGUGCCGGUACUUCUCAUCGUACGCGUUUACUGCAAUUCGUUCGUGUUAUUGCUGUCGUUACCGGUUGCUUCAUUUGGUUGGUUGGUUGAUUGAUUGAUUGAUUGAUUGAUUGAUCGAUGAUACUACGAAUUAUCAGGGAUAUUCAUUUGCAACUUAAGUCGAUGAUCCAUGUGCAUUUCAAGGACGUUAGAAGCCUUAACACGUUUUAGUAAUUUCUGACGAAGACUAAUAACACGGAAGAAAGAAAGAAGAAAGUAAAGAUAAUAAAAAAUGAUCAUUGUGUUACUUAAAAAUUCAUCGUCAUCGUCAUCAUCAUCGUCAGCGUACAAUUAUCAUCCUAAAUUGAGAACAGUUUGAUUGAAGACAAGUGGAGAAAAAAAGAAUAGACGAUAUUUCUCAAGAGACAUUAGCGAAUAAAAAUAAAUCAAAAAAGAACAACAAUAACAACAACAAGGGGAAAGGACACAAAUCAGAGAAAGUGCGAUAUCUUCAGUUAGAAAAAAAAAAACAAACUUCUCUCAUCAUCAUCCCCCUCCUGUUCUUUUGCUUCUGCUUCUACUUGUUCUUCUGCUUCAACAUCAAUAAGCAAAAACAUUGGUGUGGAACCCCAAUUGGAAAUAACCAAAUUAAAAAAGAAAAGGGGAUUGAUUGAAAAGUUGUGAAAAAACGAUCGAACGAAAUAAAAUUAAAGUGGAUCGUAAAGAAAACAAAAGACGACGAAGAAGAAGAAGAAAAAAAGAUAAUAAUAAUAAUAAUAUUAAUAAUAAUAGUGUGAUCAAAUAAGAAAAAGAAGGCAUCAUCGUCCAUCGUCAUAGGUGUGCGUUGUUUGGUCUUUUCAAGAGGGCAUGAUAAGCAAGGACGCGACCUUGAGAAGAGAAUCAGGUGCCGCAGACGAAUGCAGUGAACUCGAAAGAAUAGUUGUCAGAGAAAGAAAUAAGAUUCGUAGGAUUAAUCGUUCAGUUUCACGUAUUAUUUUUAUGACGGAAUGACGAGACGUUCUUCAUCAUCAUCGUCUUCAUCGUCAUCGUCAUCGUUUUCAUCGUCAUUGUCCUUAAUUUCAACGAUAUCGUCAUCGUCAACGUUGUCGUCCUCGUCGCGUUUUAAUUUUAUUCGUGCAUUUGAUGAAAUGUGGUUGAGAAAAUUUAUAAACAUUUCAAUUAAGUGAUUUUUCUUUUCACAAUUUUGACACAAAUUAUUUCUCUAAUCGAUGAGAUAAUUAUAAUAAUAAUAAUAAUAAUAAGAUUGAGAAAAAAAUCAUCUAAUUUUAUCAUCACGACGUUGUGGAAAAAGAAGAAGAAGAAAAAGAAGAAGAAGAAAGAAAAAAAAUUGUUCUUGUUUCUCGUAAAAUUAUUGACAACAAUCAAAAUUUCAUUUAAACAAUUACAAUUUGACACUUUCUAAUUGUUUUUAUUUUAAUUGAUCC